rnacentral:tRNA from 1 species
GAUUCCUUGGUGUAGUGGUUAUCACAUCCGCUUAACACGCGGAAGGACCUGGGUUCAAUCCCCAGUGGAAUCA